rnacentral:lncRNA from 1 species
CCUGUAGGUGGCCAACGCCGGGCGCUGGGCCGCCGCUCCUGCCUUGCACGUUAGAGAGCCGGUACAUGCAGGUGGGAAGCUCCACACGGAGAGGCGCGCCGCGCCCGUGAUAAGGUUUUACCUGGUACAUCGGCAUGGCGGAACCAAAGCAAGAGAGGGUGGCGCGUGCCAAACACCAACGCUCAGAAACCGUCCGAGGCUACGACUGGGGGCGGACAUCUCCCUUGUGACCCUGCUGCGGUCGUUCGGGAAAAAAAAAAAAAGCAGUCCGGUGUGCUCUGAUUGGCCCAUGCUCUUUGACGUCACGGACUCGACCUUUGACGGAGCUAAUAGGCGAAAAGGAGAGACGGGAAGUAUUUUUUCCGCCCCGCCCAGAAAGGGUGGAGCACAACGUCAAAAGCAGCCAAUGGGAGCCCAGGAGGCGGGGCGCCUGUGGGAGUCGUGGAGGGAACUUUCCCAGGCCCCGAGGCGGAUCGGGUAUUGAGUCCAUGGAGCGAGCUGAGAGCUAGAGUACAGAACCUGCUAAGGCCAUCAAACCUAUCGAUCGGAAGUCAGUCCAUCAGAUUUGCUCUGGGCCGGUGGUACUGAGUCUAAGCACUGCGGUGAAGGAGUUAGUAGAAAACAGUCUGGAUGCUGGUGCCACCAAUAUUGAUCUAAAGCUUAAGGACUAUGGAGUGGAUCUCAUUGAAGUUUCAGACAAUGGAUGUGGGGUAGAAGAAGAAAACUUUGAAGGCUUAACGAUGUCACCAUUUCUACCUGCCACGCAUCGGCGAAGGUUGGGACUCGACUGGUGUUUGAUCACGAUGGGAAAAUCAUCCAGAAAACCCCCUACCCCCACCCCAGAGGGACCACAGUCAGCGUGAAGCAGUUAUUUUCUACACUACCUGUGCACCAUAAGGAAUUUCAAAGGAAUAUUAAGAAGACGUGCCUGUUUCCCCUUCGCCUUCUGCCGUGAUUGUCAGUUUCCUGAGGCCUCCCCAGCCAUGCUUCCUGUACAGCCUGCAGAACUGCCUGAGAAGACUCACCAGCAAGAGAGGGAAAGAGAGACUCGAUAACAUCUACCAAAUGUGGCCGGCAUUUUGUUGGACGUUUUCGGAGCAGGAGCACCGUCAUCUCGGACAAACCCCGCCACUUCAAGUUCCACCUCCCUUUAUAGCUUCACGCAUUCAAGGAAAUCACUUCCAACUACAAGCAGCCAGAAACAGCAGACAGUAAAACACAGAUAAGACUCCUGGGGCACAGAGGGAGGUAAGGGAAAAGUCUCUUGGGUAACUGCCAAACUUCACUCUCAUACACUGGGCCCCAGUAAAACAGUGGGCCUUAAUAAGCACAUUCCUUUCCGUUCAGGUGCACUAAGAUAGGGCAGCUAAAAGCAGACUCAGGGGUAUGCCUGCGGCUGCAGAAAGAGGUAUGAGAACAGACACACACCACCUCUCCCUCCCACAUAAGCACAACAAAGAGACACAGAAGCAGUACAGGCUUCUGAUAAACUCACCCGCCCUGAAUCCUUGAAAACUCUUAGUCUGUAACAGAGUGUGGCUUCUGACCUAACUCAGUCAGAAGUCCCUCCCAGGUUCAGAAUAAACCUGUUAACUGUUAAGCAGCCCUUCGUGUUUCUCUCCUCUUUCUUUAACUCUUUUUUUUUUUUUUUUUUUGCUCUGUAGCCCAGGCUGGAGUGCAGUGGCGUGAUCUUGGCUCACUGCAAGCUCCGCCUCCCAGGUUCUCGCCAUUCUCCUGCCUCAGCCUCCCGACUAGCUGGGACUACAGACAACUGCCACCAUGCCUGGCUUAUUA